CUUUGAAAUCACGAUCGGCAGGAUAUCCAUGAAGCUUCCAACAAUCCGAUCUUUUAUGACCCGUCUUUCCACGGUAGUCGCAAAGAACCCUAGGUCCUCUCCCUUGCCGCCCGUCUCCUGCAUAAUAUGCCGCAGACUCCAGUUGUUCACUUCUUCCUCCUUGUGUCAUCGACCAGCGCAACUCCUCAUCGGCAACUUGCGCACACGCUCUGUUCAGUGUAGGCAGAGGAUCCAUAUUCAGGAUUUGCGAUCUUACCGUUGCAAAAAUUUCGGAGUCCAGACCCAUCGGAAACUGAUGAAGUUUCUCGACUUUCUUAUUCCUAGCCAUCUGGUCUACGGCUCCACAGGUGCAGGCACCGCAAGUACACUCUGCUGUCUCGAGGUAUCCCUCCAGUUCGUCCCAGAGUGAUUUCAGUUUUGAGUAAUAUUCAAUAACCUGUUGUCCCGACUGCUUCAGGUUGCAUAUACCUGUUUUAAUCUGCUGAACCCUAGGAGGGUUACCUCGUGCGAAUUGUUGCUUGAUUUCAUCCCACAUCAUCUUGGCAUCAUUGGCAUGCACAACUGCUCCUUGCAAACUCUUAUCGAGCGAGUUGAAAAUCCAUGAACAAAUCAUCGAGUUGUUUCCAUUAGGCUUAUACGGGCUCGGACCCAUUUCCAUUUAAAAGCUCAAGCUGUUAAGUGGUGGUACCCAAGUCUCAUAUAAACUCAUGGAUAUUCUUUUUCUUUUCCGAUGUGGGAUUUAUCCCAUUUUUACUCCUCAACAAUGAGUUAAGUCCCACAUCGGAAAUAUAAGAGAAAUUCCACAAGUUUAUAAGAGAUUGGAUACCAUAACCAAUUAGCUCGAUCUUUUGGGUUGGAGAUGAGCCCCAUUACUUAUAGGCCCAGUGGAAUUUUACAUAAUAUCAGGGCAGGUUAUACUUCCACACACGUGUGUGGACUCAUACCACACUAGGUUUAAGGUCUUUUUGUGUGGGUAGCCAAAAAUGCACCCGUGUUAGCUCAAGUGUGGGUAGAUCCAGUUUCGAGGCAGGCCAAAAAUACACCUCAUGUUAAGUCAGGCCCGAGUGUGGAACUCGUGGUUAGUUUGGUUUGGUCCCUCUCACCCGAGCACGGAAGAAAAUAUGUCUGGUUCGUGAUUAGUUGUUGAGGGCGGGUAUUUAAGGGCAUGUGGCAUGUGAUGGACUACACGUUGCCACGUGAGGGUAAGUGUUAAGAGUUAAAAAUGAGCUAAGUCCCAUAUCGAAAAUAUAAGAGGAAUUCCACACACAAACACACACACAUAUAUAUAUAAUUUGGCCGUAUAAUUAUUUGUUUCGUGAGAUUUCUGGAAUAGUUAGCAUGUUUGAAAAAAAAGGGAAAUGUUGUUGAAUUUUGGGUUGUGAAAGUGGCGUCCCACCAUCCCUUCUCAGAUGAGGUUACCGGAGGCCCAGUACCUCUCUGGUGACCUCAUCCUAUGGCCGAGUGGCGCUAAUGGCUGGCAAGACCCCUACUACCCUUUCUCCUUUAUGCUCCGUACUGAGUUCUUAUAAACGGGUAUGUGGCAUGUGAUGGACUACACGUUGCCACGUGAGGGUAAGUGUUAAGAGUUAAGAGUUAAGAAUGAGCUAAGUCCCAUAUCGAAAAUAUAAGAAGAAUUCCAUAUAUAUAUAUAUAUAUAUAUAUAUAAUUUGGCCGUAUAAUUAUUUGUUUCGUGAGAUUUCUGGAAUAGUUAGCAUGUUUGAAAAAAAGGGGAAAUGUUGUUGAAUUUCGGGUUGUGAAAGUGGUGUCCCACCAUCCCCUCUUAGACGAGGUUACCGAAGGCCCAGUACGUCUUUGGUGACCUCAUCCUAUGGCCGAGUGGCGCUGAUGGCUGGCAAGACCCCCACUGCCCUUUCUCCUUUAUGCUCCGUACUGAGUUCUUAUAAACAGGUAUUUCAACUGUCUGAUAAGUGAAUAACGGAUUUUACCCGUUGGAUCUUGGAAAAAGUUUAAGGAUUUGAGGUCAAAGCCCUAUAAGAUUUGGGAAAGGUUCAUGAUUUUACCUCGAAAAUCGUAUUAAACCUUUUCAGUGUGAAGUUAUUAAAUUACCCUUCAUGUUAUUCACAUUUACAAAAUAACAUUCUUUAACGUUAUGAACUCUUGAGUGUAUUGGUUUAUCGUUCUCAAACAGAUAUGCACAUACGAAACUAUUUCCUGAUGAAGAAUCACCAACGUAGGCAUCCAAAGAAAAUCGAUCAGGCCCUAAAUAUAGACACCACCAGCAAUAGCUACACGGUAUACCAAUAAGUAUUUCAAGGCAGCAAUAUAAUUCUUAGUCAACCCAUAAGUUUCUCCUAUCAAUAUUACCUAACAUAGGAAAAUAUAAUUUCCUCGAAGAAAGAGUACAAAUAUCAUUUUGGACUUUUCUUAAUGUGAAACCCCAAAUUUACAAACACAUACAGAGAUAGGCACACGCACUUGUUCAUAUAUGUUAUAUAUACUAUUAUACAUUAUAUUCAAUUGCAGAUACAUUAAAAAAAAGGGAAUUAUUAAAUGAGAUGUUAAUUUUGUUAAGAUGGAUUUGCCCACACCCAAUUACCUUUACACCUUCUCAUCCACCGCCUCCAUUUCUCCUUUAUUUAUUUCUUUUAUGUUGCUGUUGCUUCGGGUCGGUUUGAAGAAGGGGAAAAUCGAGAUUGGGAAGAGAAGCAUCGAGAGACAGAAGGAGAAGGGGGGAGAGAGAGAAAGAGUGAGAGGGAGAGAACAAUCGACAGAGGAGAAAGAGGGUAGAGCGACAGUGAGUUCUUGUGGAACCCUGAAUUUACAAACACUUAUACAUAGAUAGAGAGCGAGACAGAGGGCAACGGAGAGAGCUCAGGGGAGAGGAAGCUGGGAACGGAGGUGGUGGGAGAUGGCCAUAACAAGAGAGACAGAGAGCGCUCGGGAUAGCUGAUCGAAGGGGAGGAAGGGAAAUAGAAUUGAGAGGGAGACGAGAGUAGGGGAGUGCCCGAAGGAUAUGGGUUAAGCUUAAGUCGGUAGUUGAUUUUGCUUCCUUGAGUUUAUUUUACUUGAUUGAGUUUUUCCACGUGUGAAGUUGGAAAUAACGGGUGAGGUGGAUUAUGGAAUGAAGUGAGAGGAAGGAUAGGAAUAUGUAGAAAUUGUCGAGCCUUGCGAGGAAUUAGCUUAGCGUGGAGAUACCCAAAAAGGAGCUGAAGAGACUAAAAAUGUGCGUUGUGAAGGUUCGGCUUCAUUAAAUAUUUUGGGAGUUUGGUGAGUAUUCUAUUCCCUUGUGAAAUGAUGUAUUAUUGUUAUAUAAAUUAUUUAAGAAUAAUAUAGUGAUAUUAGAGAUUAAGGAAUCGGUCUUCCUAUGUUGUGUGAAAGGAUUUAAGAGAUAUUGUCAUCUAUGUGGUGUGAUUGUGUAUGUUGAUUGUGUAUGAUAUAUGUGAUAAUAUGAUAUCAUUGUAAUG